rnacentral:tRNA from 1 species
GGGUCCCUAGCUCAGUGGUAGAGCAGCUGACUGCAGAUCAGCAGGUCUCCGAUUCGAACCCGGAGGGGCCCU